CACGUAGGGGACGAGCGUUGUCCGGAUUCAUUGGGCGUAAAGCGCGCGUAGGCGGCUCGGAAAGUCGGUCGUGAAAUGCCGGGGCUCAACCCCGGGACUGCGUCCGAUACUCCCGAGCUGGAGGCAGGUAGGGGAGAUCGGAAUUCCUGGUGUAGCGGUGAAAUGCGUAGAUAUGCGGAGGAACACCGAUGGCGAAGGCAAUCCCCUGGACCUGUACUGACGCUCAUGCACGAAAGCGUGGGGAGCAAACAGG
rnacentral:rRNA from 1 species